AGGAGCCCGUAGCCGAGGCCUGCUGCCAGGAUCUGGGUGGUCAUGGCCACCCAGGUGACCACGCCGCUGUACUGCAGACUUAUAAAAGAAGUAGAACACACAUGCUUCCCAUUAGGUGAGAAAGAAACAUGCCUGAGAGUCUAAUGGAUUACUCAAGUCUGUGCUGCCAAGGAAGAACAGAAUCUUUAGAUAUCAUGUGUUUUACAAAUUGAAGUUUGUGGAAACCCUGCAUCAAACAAGUCUAUUGGUGACAUUUUCCCAACAGCAUUUGCUCACUUUGUGUUUCUGUGUCACAUGUUGAUAAUUCUUACAAUAUUUGAAACCUUUUUUAUUAUUAUACAUGUUCUGGUGAUCUGUGAUCAGUGAUCUUUGAUGUUACUACUGUAAUUUUUUUGGAUGCUGUGAACUGUGCCCAUAUAAA
rnacentral:lncRNA from 1 species